UUUAGAAUCUGUACGCUUUGU
rnacentral:miRNA from 1 species